AUGGGGUGCAGCAGGCGCGAAACCUCCGCAAUGCGGGCAACCGCGACGGGGGGACCCCCAGUGCCGUGGCAUAGCCACGGCUUUUCCGGAGUGUAAAAAGCUCCGGGAAUAAGGGCUGGGCAAGGCCGGUGGCAGCCGCCGCGGUAAUACCGGCGGCCCAAGUGGUGGCCGCUAUUAUUGGGCCUAAAGCGUCCGUAGCCGGGCCCGUAAGUCCCUGGCGAAAUCCCACGGCUCAACCGUGGGGCUUGCUGGGGAUACUGCGGGCCUUGGGACCGGGAGAGGCCGGGGGUACCCCUGGGGUAGGGGUGAAAUCCUAUAAUCCCAGGGGGACCGCCAGUGGCGAAGGCGCCCGGCUGGAACGGGCCCGACGGUGAGGGACGAAGGCCAGGGGAGCGAACCGGAUUAGAUACCCGGGUAGUCCUGGCUGUAAAGGAUGCGGGCUAGGUGUCGGGCGAGCUUCGAGCUCGCCCGGUGCCGGAGGGAAGCCGUUAAGCCCGCCGCCUGGGGAGUACGGCCGCAAGGCUGAAACUUAAAGGAAUUGGCGGGGGAGCAC
rnacentral:rRNA from 1 species